UACGUAGGGUGCAAGCGUUAAUCGGAAUUACUGGGCGUAAAGCGUGCGCAGGCGGCUUUGCAAGACAGAUGUGAAAUCCCCGGGCUUAACUCGGAAAGGUCAACUGAUACUGUGCGACUAGAGUGCGGAAGGGGCAACUGGAAUUCUCGGUGUAGCGGUGAAAUGCGUAGAUAUCGAGAGGAACACCUGCGGCGAAGGCGGGUUGCUGGGCCGACACUGACGCUGAUGCGCGAAAGCCAGGGGAGCGAACGGGG
rnacentral:rRNA from 1 species